AACGAACGCUGGCGGCAUGCCUAACACAUGCAAGUCGAACGAGACCUUCGGGUCUAGUGGCGCACGGGUGCGUAACGCGUGGGAACCUGCCCUUAGGUUCGGAAUAACUCCCCGAAAGGGGUGCUAAUACCAGAUAAUGUCUUCGGACCAAAGAUUUAUCGCCUUUGGAUGGGCCCGCGUUGGAUUAGCUAGUUGGUAGGGUAAAAGCCUACCAAGGCGACGAUCCAUAGCUGGUCUGAGAGGAUGAUCAGCCACACUGGGACUGAGACACGGCCCAGACUCCUACGGGAGGCAGCAGUGGGGAAUAUUGGACGAUGGGCGAAAGCCUGAUCCAGCAAUGCCGCGUGAGUGAUGAAGGCCUUAGGGUUGUAAAGCUCUUUUACCCGGGAUGAUAAUGACAGUACCGGGAGAAUAAGCUCCGGCUAACUCCGUG
rnacentral:rRNA from 1 species